rnacentral:rRNA from 1 species
CCUACGGGUGGCAGCAGUCGAGAAUCAUUCACAAUGGGGGAAACCCUGAUGGUGCGACGCCGCGUGGGGGAAUGAAGGUUUUCGGAUUUAAAGCCCCUGUCAUGUGGGAGCAAAUUAAAAAGAUAGUACCAUAAGCGGAAGAGCCGGCUAACUCGGUGCCAGCAGCCGCGGUAAUAAAGAGGUCUCAAGCGUUGUUCGGAAUCACUGGGCGUAAGGCGUGCGUAGGCUGUUUCGUAAGUCGUGGGGGAAAGGCGCGGGCUCAACCCGCGGACGGCACAUGAUACUGCGAGACUAGAGUAAUGGAGGGGGGACCGGAAUUCCCGGUGUAGCAGUGAAAGGCGUAGAUAUCGGGAGGAACACUCGUGGCGAAGGCGGGUUCCUGGACAUUAACUGACGCUGAGGCACGAAGGCCAGGGGAGCGAACGGGAUUAGAUACCCCAGUAGUC